rnacentral:rRNA from 1 species
UACGGGGGGUGCUAGCGUUGUUCGGAAUUACUGGGCGUAAAGGGCGCGUAGGCGGUCUGCUAAGUUGGAUGUGAAAACUCUGGGCUUAACCCAGAGCCUGCAUUCAAUACUGACAGGCUAGAGUUCUGGAGGGGAUAGCGGAAUUCCUGGUGUAGCGGUGAAAUGCGUAGAUAUCAGGAGGAACACCGGUGGCGAAGGCGGCUAUCUGGACAGAAACUGACGCUGAGGCGCGAAAGCUAGGGGAGCAAACAGG